rnacentral:rRNA from 1 species
AUACGGGGGGUGCAAGCGUUAUUCGGAUUUAUGGGGCGUAAAGGGCGCGUAGGCGGCUUGGUAAGUCAGAUGUGAAAGCCCGGGGCUUAACCCCGGAAGUGCAUUUGAAACUAUCAGGCUUGAGUAUGGGAGAGGGAAGUGGAAUUCCUGGUGCAGAGGUGAAAUUCGUAGAUAUCAGGAGGAACACCGGUGGCGAAGGCGACUUCCUGGACCAAUACUGACGCUGAGGCGCGAAGGCGUGGGGAGCAAACAGGAUUAGAAACCCCUGUAGUCC